rnacentral:tRNA from 1 species
GGCCGGGUUGCUCUGUUGGAUAUGGGCAGCUUCGCUCUCACCGAAGAGACUCGCGGGUUCAAUUCCCGUCCCGGUCACCA